UACGAAGGGAGCUAGCGUUGUUCGGAAUCACUGGGCGUAAAGCGCACGUAGGCGGAUCUUUAAGUCAGGGGUGAAAUCCUGGAGCUCAACUCCAGAACUGCCUUUGAUACUGGGGAUCUCGAGUCCGGAAGAGGUGAGUGGAACUCCGAGUGUAGAGGUGAAAUUCGUAGAUAUUCGGAAGAACACCAGUGGCGAAGGCGGACUCACUGGUCCGGUACUGACGCUGAGGUGCGAAAGCGUGGGGAGCAAACAGGG
rnacentral:rRNA from 1 species